rnacentral:rRNA from 1 species
CACGUAGGGUGCGAGCGUUGUCCGGAAUUAUUGGGCGUAAAGGGUCCGCAGGUGGCAGUGUAAGUCUGCUGUCAAAGAAUGAGGCUUAACCUCAUCAAGGCAGUGGAAACUACACAGCUAGAGUACGGUCGGGGUAGAAGGAAUUCUUGGUGUAGCGGUGAAAUGCGUAGAUAUCAAGAGGAACACCUGAGGUGAAGACGGGUUGCUGGGCCAACACUGACGCUGAGGCGCGAAAGCCAGGGGAGCAAACGGG